rnacentral:rRNA from 1 species
CCUACGGGUGCACCAGUGGGGAAUAUUGCACAAUGGGCGCAAGCCUGAUGCAGCCAUGCCGCGUGUAUGAAGAAGGCCUUCGGGUUGUAAAGUACUUUCAGCGGGGAGGAAGGGAUGGCGCUUAAUACGCGCCGUCAUUGACGUUACCCGCAGAAGAAGCACCGGCUAACUCCGUGCCAGCAGCCGCGGUAAUACGGAGGGUGCAAGCGUUAAUCGGAAUUACUGGGCGUAAAGCGCACGCAGGCGGUCUGUCAAGUCGGAUGUGAAAUCCCCGGGCUCAACCUGGGAACUGCAUUCGAAACUGGCGGGCUAGAGUCUUGUAGAGGGGGGUGGAAUUCCAGGUGUAGCGGUGAAAUGCGUAGAGAUCUGGAGGAAUACCGGUGGCGAAGGCGGCCCCCUGGACAAAGACUGACGCUCAGGUGCGAAAGCGUGGGGAGCAAACAGGAUUAGAUACCCUCGUAGUC